CUGAUUAGCUAGUUGGUGGGGUAAAGGCCUACCAAGGCAGUGAUCAGUAGCUGGUCUGAGAGGAUGGUCAGCCACACUGGGACUGAGAAACGGCCCAGACUCCUACGGGAGGCAGCAGCAAGGAAUUUUCGUCAAUGGGGGAAACCCUGAACGAGCAACGCCGCGUGGGCGACGAAGUCCUUCGGGAUGUAAAGCCCUUUUCUGUGGGAAGAAGAAAGACGGUACCACAGGAAUAAGCAUCGGCUAACUACGUGCCAGCAGCCGCGGUAAUACGUAGGAUGCAAGCGUUGUCCGGAUUUACUGGGCGUAAAGGGCGCGCAGGCGGCUUGCCAAGUCACACGUGAAAGCCCCCGGCUAAACCGGGGAGGGUCGUGUGAGACUGGUAAGCUAGAGUGCAGCAGAGGAUAGUGGAAUUCCCGGUGUA
rnacentral:rRNA from 1 species